CAUAGUGCCCGUUACAAAUAAAUUAGUCCAAAUGAGCCCAUAGCCCAUUAGUUAUUAUUAUUAGGGUUUCUCGAUUUGCAGCCGUCAACCUACAUUAUUGCCCUCCCCCCUCUAUAUCCUCUCUCCUUUAUCAUUUCCACUCAUUCUCUCUCUCUCUCUGUCUCUCUCUUCUCUCUCUCUCUCUCUUGCUCACUCAAUCUCUCUACUUCUCUAAUCAAGGUAACAACACUCACCAAACGAAUAGUUUUGAACACUUUCUAUACAUCUCCAUGAAUUAUCCUUCAAACUAUAAACUAUACACUUGACCUUUAGUACGGUGUUAUAAUUAUCAGUCCUUUCUCCUCAAACCUUGUAAUCGUCAUUCUUGACGUCAUACCCAAACCCAGACACAAAAAUAUAACAUUCUGGGAUUGAAAUUUGUUUUGAAGGAAGCUUACGGUGUGAAUUUGUGAGAGGAUUGUAUAAGAAUAUAUUGUUGUUUGGGAACUCGGAGAUGCAAACGAUGCCGUUGCAGGAACCAAUUUGUUUUUUUUCUUUUUUUUUUUUUGAAGAGCGUGGUUGAGCUCCGAGAAUUCGAGAAAGAGAUGAAGUUAUGGUUGAUUUUGAGCUCGGAAGAGCAGAAAAGAGAUUGGGAAUCGAUUGAAAUAAGGAGAUGACGAUCAGAGUCGGAGGUUAGGGUUUGAUUGAGGUGAAUUUUGAUGAAUUUGGGGUUUUUGAUUAUGGAAUUCCACGAUUUGCAGACGGAUUUACAGCGAAGAAGCGUUUAUUAUUUCUGUUGGUGAAUAGUUUGUGGAUCUAACUUUCUUGAUUUUUAAGGUGGGUGUCACGGGUCAGAAGAGUUGUGUUCGUGGUGGUCGGUUGGCUUCGUGGGUGUAAAUAUGGGUAAGUGUAAAGCGGUGGCGAUGGUAAGUGUACGGCAUUGGUGUUCUUUCUUUUUGCGUGGAUUUCUCGUUCCUAAGUUGUAGAUCUAUAGUUUUUCUUUUGAAUAAUUAUGUCUGUUUGCUUCUCUGAUGUAAAAAGGGAUCGCUCAUUUCUGGGUAAGUGUAAAAAGGGAUCGCUCAUUUCUGGGUAAGUGUAAAUCUAGGCAAGACGAUACAUUUACAAUGAUGUUCUUAAAUUGUCUGAUGAAAAACUCAUGGAUUGCUCUGGUAUUCAAGUGGAGCAUAUAAUAUCUACACAAGGGAGCUUAUUGAAGGUGGAGCAUAUAAUAUCAAACCACAAAUGUUGGGAUAAAACUUGUUUUAUUAAAUUAUGAUUUGUUUUUGCUCUUUUAUUAGUCUUAGUCUUAAGAUGUAAAAUUGCGACAUUAUGAGCAAGUUGAUAUAUUUUGAAGUGAUAAUGAAUAUAUUUUUGCUUAUUGUA